UAGGGAAUCUUCCGCAAUGGGCGAAAGCCUGACGGAGCAACGCCGCGUGAGUGAUGAAGGUCUUCGGAUCGUAAAACUCUGUUAUUAUGGAAGAACAAAUGUGUAAGUAACUAUGCACGUCUUGACGGUACCUAAUCAGAAAGCCACGGCUAACUACGUGCCAGCAGCCGCGGUAAUACGUAGGUGGCAAGCGUUAUCCGGAAUUAUUGGGCGUAAAGCGCGCGUAGGCGGUUUUUUAAGUCUGAUGUGAAAGCCCACGGCUCAACCGUGGAGGGUCAUUGGAAACUGGAAAACUUGAGUGCAGAAGAGGAAAGUGGAAUUCCAUGUGUAGCGGUGAAAUGCGCAGAGAUAUGGAGGAACACCAGUGGCGAAGGCGACUUUCUGGUCUGUAACUGACGCUGAUGUGCGAAAGCGUGGGGAUCAAACAGG
rnacentral:rRNA from 1 species